rnacentral:rRNA from 1 species
GACGAACUGAGCGAACGUUGUUCGGAAUAACUGGGCUUAAAGGGCGCGUAGGCGGGCCGCCAAGUUCGAGGUGAAAUCCUCCGGCUCAACCGGAGAACUGCCUCGAAUACUGGAGGCCUCGAGGCGGGUAGGGGCACGCGGAACUGUGGGUGGAGCGGUGAAAUGCGUUGAUAUCCACAGGAACUCCGGUGGCGAAGGCGGCGUGCUGGACCCGAUCUGACGCUGAGGCGCGAAAGCCAGGGGAGCAAACGGG